rnacentral:rRNA from 1 species
GAUGAACGCUAGCUACAGGCUUAACACACGCAAGUCGAGGGACCGGCGCACGGGUGAGUAACACGUAUCCAACCUGCCCUUUACUCGGGGAUAGCCUUUCGAAAGAAAGAUUAAUACCCGAUAUAAAGGAUGGGGAUGCGUUGCAUUAGGUUGUUGGUGAGGUACCGGCCCACCAAGCCUUCGAUGGAUAGGGGUUCUGAGAGGAAGGGCCACCACAAUGGAACGGAGACACGGUCCAAACUCCUACGGGAGGCAGCAGUGAGGAAGAUUGGUCAAUGGGCGUUAGCCUGAACCAGCCAAGUAGCGUGAAGGAUGAAGGCUUAUGGGUCGUAAACUUCUUUUAUAUAAGAAUAUGUAUUAUAUGAAUAAGGAUCGGCUAACUCCGUGCCAGCCGCCGCGGUAAUAC